UCAGCUGGUUGAACUGUGUCAUGGGUAUGCUAUUUCUUUUUGUGGAACUCUGAUGAGAUUAUUAUGUUUGUCAAUAAAGAAUGAUGCUAAAUGUUUCACCUUUUCAAAUUUAUCUCUAUCUUGGCCUCCAUCUUCCCCUAUUAUUGAAAUAGAUGGAUUCAUCUAGGCUAUAUUUAACUUUAUUAUAAUCCAAAUACCUUAUUGAAGGGUGACUUUGGUGUAAUAGUAAAUUACUCCAUUUGUGAACUGGAGGUCAUGGGUUCAAGUAAUGGAACUAGCCUCUCUGUAAAGCAAGUAUAAGGCUGCAUGCAUCAACCCUCUCUAGAGCCCACAAGUAUGGACGCUUUAAUGCAUUGAGUCACCCUUUUAUAAUCUAGAUACUUUGUUUUGCUCUCUAGUUCAAGUUUUGCCUUCCCAAAUAAAGCGCAGGAAUUGAGUUUUUGAGCUACUGCUUCUUGUUCUUUUUUGUGUUGUGGUGGGGGAUGACCUUUGAAGACUGCAUCACCUCUUAAAAACAAACUGGCCCCAACUCUGCAACUCUCCAAUGGUUGUGUUGCAUCUGUUCUACUUUUGAGGCUUAAAGCUAAUUGAUGGACCAAGAGUUAGGUGCAAUGGACUUGACUGUGAUAUGACCCACCAU
rnacentral:misc_RNA from 1 species